rnacentral:rRNA from 1 species
UUUUAGUACUGAAGAUAUUUUGAAUAAAUAAUUCUAAAUACAACUUUCAACAACGGAUCUCUUGGCUCUCGCAUCGAUGAAGAACGCAGCGAAAUGCGAUACGUAAUGUGAAUUGCAGAAUUCAGUGAAUCAUCGAAUCUUUGAACGCACAUUGCACUCUCUGGUAUUCCGGAGAGUAUGCUUGUUUGAGUAUCUGUAAACAUCUCAAAUCUCUCUGCGCUUGCGCAAAAGAGAAUUGGAUUUGAGCGAUCCCGACUCCUUCGUCAGAAAGAGGAGGGUCGCUUGAAAUGCAGGUGCAGCUGGACAUUCUUCUGAGCUAAAAGCAUAUCUAUUUAGUCCCUUCAAACGGAUUAUUACUUUUGCUUCAGCUAAUAUAAAGGUCGAAUGAACUACCAACGCUGAUUGCAGGAAAACUCGUUCUUAACCGAACUUGUAAACUCGAUCUCAAAUCAAGUAAGACUACCCGCUGAACUUAA